rnacentral:rRNA from 1 species
CAGCAGCCGCGGUAAUACGGAGGGCGCGAGCGUUACCCGGAUUUACUGGGCGUAAAGGGCGCGUAGGCGGCCUGGGGCGUCCCAUGUGAAAGGCCACGGCUCAACCGUGGAGGAGCGUGGGAUACGCUCAGGCUAGAGGGUGGGAGAGGGUGGUGGAAUUCCCGGAGUAGCGGUGAAAUGCGCAGAUACCGGGAGGAACGCCGAUGGCGAAGGCAGCCACCUGGUCCACUUCUGACGCUGAGGCGCGAAAGCGUGGGGAGCAAACCGGAUUAGAUACCCCAGUAGUCCCUGUCUCUUAUAC